CAUCCAAAGUUAACAAAACCUGAAAUGAGAGGGACGGAGGAAUGAAAGGAAUGGACAGUCACUGUUACACUUAGUCCCUGUUUUCUCUCGGAGACGUCCACAGACUGGAAACUGCCUGGGCUCUGCUGUCUAUGGACUGGACAUAAUGACACUCCCGCUUGGGUAUUUGUUGAUGGAUGGAGAUGAUGAGAAAGUUGCCAAGAUGAACUCAAAGCUUUCGACCACGUUAAGCAUCCACUGGGACCAGCAUCCAGUGCUUACAGAUUUAUGAAGUGCCAUCCUGAGAAUGAUAACCACAUGCGGUUAUUGUGCAUUUAUGUGUGGCUAUUAAAAACCAUCCCUUGUAAAGAAAACUUUCAUUUUAGACACUGUGAAAACACGUUAAGAGAGAGGUAGAAAGGCCAAAACGGCAAAUUGGAGAGAGGAGUUCUUCUUGGAAUAGCAAACUAGCCCCUUACCUCCCAGCUGCUGAGAUUCUGGAAGAAAAAGUACAGGGCGGCAGCCCACAUCACAGCGGUGGCCACGAUGCAGACAAGCGGCACUGGGAGGACCUUCUCGGAGCUGCGGAGCUGUCGGGAGAGACCAGAUGCGGCCUCGCAGGAUCCCGCCUGCGCCAGCCGGAGGGCCGAGGCAGCCACUUCCGGCGCCCGCUCUUACCUUCAUGAUGAUGUAAAAGGCCAGGUACAGCAACAGGUUACAGAUGAAGAUGCCCAGCAUGUAGGAAGCAAAGUCCCUGGGGCGGUAUAUCAAUCCGAAAAGGGCGCUGCGGGCGUGGGAGAAAUGUGGGCAGCCGUGAAGGUGGGUUUGUAACACUAUUGGCCUUUCCAAUGCCCCAGCCCCUUGAAGGGGAAGGGGCAGGUUCUUUUUUUUUUUUAAAACAAAAACUUUUAUUUUUAGUUAACUUCACUUUUUUUAAACUCUUACCUCGUGAUGCAACAGAUU